GGAUGUGAAGGCGAUCUGGCUGCGACAUCUGUCACCCCAUUGAUCGCCAGGGUUGAUUCGGCUGAUCUGGCUGGCUAGGCGGGUGUCCCCCUCCUCCCUCACCGAUCCAUGUGCGUCCCUCCCGAAGCUGCACGCUCGGUCGAAGAGGACGACCUUCCCCCCCGAGGAGAGGACCCCGGUCUUCGGUCAAGGGUAUACGAGUAGCUGCGCUCCCCUGCUAGAACCUCCAAACAAGCUCUCAAUAUACCAAGUGUGUGGAUUAAGAUUUGAGCUGAGACUGCCAGAGGCAGAGCUGAGAUACUCCACUCGCCAUGAGACUGCAGGGUACCACC
rnacentral:snRNA from 1 species